rnacentral:rRNA from 1 species
AACGAACGCUGGCGGCAUGCCUAACACAUGCAAGUCGAACGAGAUCUUCGGGUCUAGUGGCGCACGGGUGCGUAACGCGUGGGAAUCUGCCCUUUGGUUCGGAAUAACAGUUGGAAACGACUGCUAAUACCGGAUGAUGACGAAAGUCCAAAGAUUUAUCGCCAGAGGAUGAGCCCGCGUAGGAUUAGCUGGUUGGUGUGGUAAAGGCGCCCCAAGGCGACGAUCCUUAGCUGGUCUGAGAGGAUGAUCAGCCACCCUGGGACUGAGACACGGCCCAGACUCCUACGGGAGGCAGCAGUGGGGAAUAUUGGACAAUGGGCGAAAGCCUGAUCCAGCAAUGCCGCGUGAGUGAUGAAGGCCUUAGGGUUGUAAAGCUCUUUUACCCGGGAUGAUAAUGACAGUACCGGGAGAAUAAGCUCCGGCUAACUCCGUGCCAGCAGCCGCCGUAA